GCCGGGCGUGGUGGUGCGCGCCUGUAGUCCUAGCUACUCGGGAGGCUGGGGCAGGAGGAUCGCUUGAGUUCUGGGCUGCAGUGCGCUAUGCCGAUCUGGUGUCCGCACUAAGUUCGGCAUCAAUAUGGUGACCUCCCGGGAGGGGGGGACCACCAGGUUGCCCAAGGAGGGGUGAACCAGCACAGGUCGGAAAUGGAGCAGGUCAAAACUCCCAUGCUGAUCAAUAUAAAAUAAUCAUACACACAUAUAAAAUCCACCUGCUCUU
rnacentral:SRP_RNA from 1 species